rnacentral:rRNA from 1 species
GACGAACGCUGGCGGCGUGCCUAAUACAUGCAAGUAGAACGCUGAAGGAGGAGCUUGCUUCUCUGGAUGAGUUGCGAACGGGUGAGUAACGCGUAGGUAACCUGCCUGGUAGCGGGGGAUAACUAUUGGAAACGAUAGCUAAUACCGCAUAAGAGUAGAUGUUGCAUGACAUUUGCUUAAAAGGUGCAAUUGCAUCACUACCAGAUGGACCUGCGUUGUAUUAGCUAGUUGGUGAGGUAACGGCUCACCAAGGCGACGAUACAUAGCCGACCUGAGAGGGUGAUCGGCCACACUGGGACUGAGACACGGCCCAGACUCCUACGGGAGGCAGCAGUAGGGAAUCUUCGGCAAUGGACGGAAGUCUGACCGAGCAACGCCGCGUGAGGGAAGAAGGUUUUCGGAUCGUAAAGCUCUGUUGUAAGAGAAGAACGAGUGUGAGAGUGGAAAGUUCACACUGUGACGGUAUCUUACCAGAAAGGGACGGCUAACUACGUG